GGUGAGAACAACCUAGUCUUGCUGGCAGGAGUCCAGUCCACAGCGAUCUUGAUGCUGACCUUCACUCUGGAACGCCAUUCCUCUCUGGAAGAGCUGCUCUUUUUUUGGUCGGACUCCAGUGUCCUCUCCAUCCACCAAUUCCGAUCUAGAAACUAAAUGGAAGGAGGGAGAGGAGUACCUGAAGGCUAUUGGAAUAACAUCUGCAGCAAAAAGAACUACAGCCUUGAAGACAGAACCCCAGACAGGAUGAGCCUGGCUAACUCCUCGGGACAUCACCUGGAGAGGACCAUGAAAUAGAGAAGCCACGUGAGGAUACAGCAAGAACUCUGCCUGCUACAAUGCCAGGAGGCAAGCCUCA